rnacentral:rRNA from 1 species
ACAAGCCUGAGAAACGGCUAGUAGGACUAAGGUCUGCAGCAGGCGCGAAACUUACACAAUGCUAGAUUACAAUUAGCGAUGUAGUGAAGAAAAAUAACGAUGUACUUCCAUUUAAACAUGGUAGUACAAUUGGAAUGAGACGACUAUAAACCAGUUAGUCGAGUAACAAAUGGAGGGCAAGUCUGGUGCCAGCAGCCGCGGUAAUUCCAGCUCCAUUAGCAUACAUUAAAGUUGUUGCGGUUAAAAAGCUCGUAGUUGAAUUUUAGGCGAGCUCUAUUGGGAUGCAACCGUCAAGGGUUGCCCAUCUAUAUGGGCCAACCUGGUUGUCAUUUGCCUAUAGGAGCUCGCUGUUUCGUCACUUAUUCGAGUGCGAAGCGGGCUGGAACGAUGGUCACUUCGGUGCACCUUGUUACAGCAAGUUUACCUUGAGAAAAUUAGAGUGCUCACAGCAGGCAGUUGGGGUGUAAAAACCUCUUUAUGCUUGAAUAAUGUUGCAUGGAAUAAUAGAAUACGGCCUCGGUUCUAUUCUGUUGGUCUUAUAGAACAACAAACAAGUUGGUUGGAGCGAUCAAAAGUUCGUUUGUGAGUGUGGCCUUAGUGAAUGCGGUUCACAUUGUUCGUGUUUUCUGUUUUAAUCAUCAAGCGCCGACUUGUUACCUGGGGCCUCAAAAUCUCAGUGUCUUGUCCACUUGUUGCUCUUAAUUCAGAACCCUACUUGUGCCGUUAUGACCUAUGGUCAUUUAAAGCACUCCUUACUGGGCUAGCUUCUUAAUCAACUGAGGCAAUGGUUAAAAGAAAUAGUCGCGGCGGCAUCAGUACUGCAUCGUGAGAG